CAGCUGGGUGAGGCCACAUGACCAAGUUCUGACCAAUGAGAUGUAAGCAGAAUGGUGGGUGGGACUUCCGGGAGAACUCUACAGUUAAGGAGGAAAAUACUUCUUGCAGCAAAUGAAACUUAAACCUAUGGUCUCUUCAGUUGCUUUCACGUAUAACCAUAGGACUAAAAAGUUUCCUUAGCCAGUGACUGUAUCUUUUUGACUCCAAAGAACCUGCAGCUACUUCUGUAGCGUUGGGCUUCAACUAGUGAGUGCACAUUUGGCCAGUUUAAGCCCAGUGAACAUCCAGUGGAGGGUGCACGUUCACCACUUUCAGCCACGCUGGAAAGUUCCCAUCACGGCAUUCCCAUCCAUGCCUUGGAUUUAUGGAACCACAGUUCUUGUCACAAAUAUCUAUGUUCUGAGCAACUGUUCAGUGUGUCUUACCCACUAAUAGGCAGAUGGUACCCAGCAGGUGAGCAGUGAGAUCAGCGUCCCUGCCCGCAUGGAGUUUACAAGCCUUUUAGGCAGAAAAUUACAUCAAUAAUAUUGUGCAAAGGAGUGAUACAGCCAGCAUUUAAUUUGUGGAUGACAAAAUUUUCCAUCAUGUGAUAGCUUUUUUAAAAAUCUGAUAAUGCACAGAGCAUAAAUUCUGCAGAGAAAAGGGUGUUUUAACUGUGCUUCUGAAUAGUAGUCAAGAG
rnacentral:lncRNA from 1 species